UAGCAUAAUCAUUUGUUUUUUAAUUGAAAACUGGAAUGAAUGGUUAAACAAAAAAUAUUGUCUUUAUUAAUUUUAGGAAAUUAUAUUUUUAGUAAAAAUACUAAAAUAAUAUAAGGGGACGAUAAGACCCUAAAAGCUUUACUAUAGUUUAUAUAUUUAUAUUGUAAUAAUUAGUUUUACUGGGGUAGUGACUUUUAAAAGAUUGAGGUUUAAUUAACAUUAAUGUGGGUUUAGUUCUUAUAAAUAAUAAAAAUUGAAUUAGUUACUUUAGGGAUAACAGCGUAAUAAUCUCGGAAAGUUCAUAUUUAUGGAGUAGAUUGCGACCUCGAUGUUGAAUUAAAAUAAUCUUAGUGGAGUAGAAGCUAUUUGAGAGGGUUUGUUCAACCUUUAAAUUUUUACAUGAUUU
rnacentral:rRNA from 1 species